CGAACUGCAGCCCGCAUCUCCACACGCUCUCAGCCGCGCGCGCCCUCUAGCUCGCCCGCGCGCGCCGGCGCCCCCCUCCCCGCCACGUGACCGGCGUCCCAGUCCGACCCGCGCGCUGCGCCCCUGCAGAGCGACGCGGAGCUACCGCACCCUUCCAGACUCGCCCGUUGGUCCUUGUCUGACGAGCUCUAAGCAACCUGCCCUCCUUCGGAACACAAAUGUCGGUCUCACCCCUCAGUUUCUGCCAGAGAAAUAGGAAAAGUCACCUAGAGGCCUGACCCUGACGGGUGGGGGGAGACGAGCGCGCGGAGUAGCGGGAAGCGUCUGAGGAGCGGGGACUGGGCAGCGUUUGAAUGGAUGCGGGUGCCGCUGGCACCCGGGAAGACGCCGGGGGCCGGCGCUGUGGAGCCGGGCACGGGCUGGGAUGUGUUUGGAUUCCAAUCCGGGCCUGACACCAGUUGAGUGACCUCGGAAAGUUCCCCAACCCUCCGGGCCUGUUUCCUCCCUCUGAAGUGGCGACAGUAAUAGAACUGACCCCGUAGGCUCAUCGGGAGGCCCUGAAGGGGGAACCCAUGCAACUUGCCACCGCAGAGCCAGGCCCGCGGCGGUUGGCGCCUGGUGGGUAUUAAAGACGAGUCGGGAAAGAAGAGCAGGUUGAUAGACUGGAUGCUGCUAUGGUAAUUUGCCUCAGGAAAAUGCCGGACUGUGGUUUGCAAGCUUGUUAAGUGAGCAAAACUUGGGAAGAUUUCAAGGUCUGACAGCCCUGCCAUUUCCUAACUUCUGCUGUGUGGCCAUCCACCUACCUUUGGGAACCUCCAAUCAAUACCCACAGAGUUGCUCUCAUCCUGGGAACUCUCUCUUGCCUCUCCCCGUGGUUCAUUCUCCAAGUCUGAAUUAUUUGGUCAAAAAAACCCCAAAUGCUUCAGAAAACUCUCGCAAGCUUGUCAUAGCUUUUGAUGUUCCAGGCCACAGAAGAGCCCAGAGGCCGAGAUAGGAGAAUCACUUGAAGCCAGGAGUUUGAGACCAGCCUGGACAACAUAGUGAAACCUCAUCUCCACAAAACAGGUGUUGUGAUACAUGACUGUAGUCUUAGCUACUUGGGAGGCUGUGGCAGGAGAAUCACUUGAGCCCAGGAGUUUGAGGCUACAGUGAGCUAUGAUCAUAUCUCUACAUUCCAGCCUGGGCAACAGAGCAAGAUUGCAUCUUUAAAAAAAAAAAAA